UAACUGGAUUGUGGCGACCAAGCAUUCAGACUGUAGCAACAUUGCUCUCUGAUCCUUUGAUUUCGGCUCUUUACAUCAUCGAGAAGCAGAAUGCACUGAACAUUAAAUUGUUCACCCACUGACAGGGGACGAGAGCAGGGUUAGGCAGUCCCGAGGCAGGUU
rnacentral:ncRNA from 1 species